UACAGAGGUGGCAAGCGUUGUUCGGAAUUACUGGGCGUAAAGGGCGCGUAGGCGGUCUUGUAAGUCUUGUGUGAAAUCCCUCGGCUCAACUGAGGAACUGCACGGGAUACUGCGAGACUUGAGUUCGGGAGAGGGAAGCGGAAUUCCGGGUGUAGCGGUGAAAUGUGUAGAGAUCCGGAGGAACACCAGUGGUGCAAACGGCGCCCUGGGUCCGAACUGACGCUGAAGCACGAAAGCGUGGGGAGCGAACGGG
rnacentral:rRNA from 1 species